AAAGUAGUGGGUGACUUCUCGGUUAUUGCAGCUCAAUCUCUAACCAUCUCUAUCUUUCUUCAUUUACGGUGGCCACCUUCAAGCCGGGAUACAACCGCCGUAUUCCAGAAGUCGCCGCUGCCCAUUUCUCAUUUCUUGUUCAGCCUCGUCAUCUCUCCCUGCGUGGAUGAGAUGCCGGUGGAUCUGAUCGUCGAGGCUCUUCAGAUCUAUCUGAUCCGCCCUCACGAAUCCGCCGCCGGUGUGGACGUUCCCUCCACCAUUUCUCCGGAAAGCGCAGAUGCAACGUCAGUGGAGCUUACGGUGGGAACGCGCAAUAAGCGACGACCUUCAACAACGAAAAGAUCUAAGGCAAAAAUUCUCUUCCUCGUCAGAUUUUUGGCAAAUGUCCCAAAACAUUGAGAAAACGGUUGAGAAAUCGAAGGGAGUCGUGCAGCUAUUCAAAUUUCUAAAAAUGAAAAAGGAAAUGCCAUGAUUAACAGUUCAAAAUCAAAGUCAAAGCUUAAAUGGGCGAGAGAAAGAAGCAUGCCAAGAAGUUCAUCCGAUAAGCGUAUAAAACAUGUACGAAAAAGUUUGAAAGGAACAGCUAGAGAUGCUGAGGACAACAGUAACACGAUUGUAAGCAAAGCGAGCCAAUAAGUCCGGAUAGUCCUAUUGAUGGGACUCCUAGACCUGCAGUUCAAUCGUCCUGCAAAGUUUUUACUGCUUCUGAUACCAGCACACAUGGUGGAUUUUCUGUCUUUCAUAAACAUGCAAAUGAGUGUCUUCCCCCAUUGAAUACGAGCCAACAGAUUCUGAGCUUCCGACACAGGAAUUGAUUGCUAGGGAUACACAUGGAAAUGAAUGGCAAUUCAAACAUAUAUUUAGAGAGGAAGAGAAUGGGGUUUUAAGAGUACAAACCGACUAAAAUUGGUGUUGUGCAUUAAAGUGUUUUCUGAGUGCAAAAGGACUAAAUUAAUGCUGUGAAGUCAAGUAAAUGAUCCCAAUAUAUUGCAAAUAGAAGUGGCAAAAAAGGCAAAUCAUUGAACAGAAAUUGUAAAAUGAGUUGCAGGAACUUCGUGAUCCAAAAUAUGAAUGAGAGAUGGCACUCAAGAUUUCACAGAUGAGGUGCAUCACAGCAAUGACAAAUACAAAAAAAAGAAAGAGAAGGAAAAGAAAAGCGGCCUCUCUCUCUUCACUAUGCAAUCAUUAUAAAGAGAAGAUAACAUUGCAAGCAUGGGCGGCUACAAUACCUACUCCUACUCCUACUCUACUGAAUCAAGACAUCACCAUAUAAAAAAAAAGGUAUGUAAUUCUUUCUUUUCGAGCUAUGUCCUGUAUCUAUAUUUGACAACAUAGUCAUAUCUAACUUACAUGAGCAUAAUGUUGAUGAGGUAUUAGAGAUUAUUAGAGUCAGAUUUCAAAUACAAUUACUACUCUUUGCAAAUAUUAAUUCUAGAAUGCUUUGCAAAUCCUAUCAUCUAUUUAUUUAAUAGGGUGUAUUAUGUCUCCAAUUUUCUUUACACAAACGAAUACAGUACUUAGUUUUUAAAAUAUAUAUACUACUUGAUAGGUUUUUCAUUUAAUAUGGUAUCUGUUCAUUUACAACAGAUUUAUAAAUUUAUAUUCUGUCCCACUCUCUCUGUCUCUUUCUCUCUCUCUCUCUUUUAUUUUUCAUGUUCUAAAAUUUUAAUUUCAUUCUCUCUUUCUUUUUCUUUUUCUUUUUCUUUUUUAUCAUGUUCUAAAAUUGUGACUAUAUUCUCUCAGUCUGGAUUUCUCUGAUGCUGCUUCAUUGAUAAUUCUAAAUAUAGGUUUUAAAUAUUAAAACUAACAUAUUAUUUAACCUUGUUCAAGGAUAAAUUGAAUUGGAAAUAGAUAAUUGCUAUUGCCUUGCAGGAAAUAUUUUUGUACAUUUAAUAGUUUGUCACCCUCCGUCUUUGUGUGAAGAUUUUUGUACAUUUAAUAGUUUGUCACCCUCCGUCUUUGUGCGUCUCUUGGCCUAUCUCUCCCUGUAUGUCUCAUGUUUCAUGAUCUAAAAUUAUGAUUUUAUUCUCAUUUUUCACAUGAAUGAAAUUGUGAUUUUAUUC